CUCUCUCUCUCUCGUUUCUGUUUCAGCUUCCUUUCUAUGUCGUUGCAGACCCAAAUCCAGGAGCUCUUUGUUCUCUCAUUCUCUCUCUGCCAAUCACGCGCAAGCAGCCUAACUGUAGGGGAAAAUUUUUUCAGGGGAGCAGCGACAUGAAAUGGUGGGAAGAGUACAAGAAAAUUAUCCGAAAAGGCUGAUGACGAUCUAGCAGCAGCAGCUGCUGAGGCUGCUGAUGGAAGACCAGUGUAUUGCAGAGAUAGGUUUUAUCGUGCAUUAGCAGGUGGACAGUACUGCAAAUGGGAGGAUCUAGUCAAAUAAAGGGAAAGAAGGAGGCACAAAUCAUAAUAAAUUUUAAUAUUAUCAUUCUGCCCUGUUAUUUCUAUUUACAAGAUGUUAACACUUAAAGUUUUAUCCCA